rnacentral:rRNA from 1 species
UGUGUAGGCGGUUCUUUAAGUUUGGUGUGAAAUCUCCCGGCUCAACCGGGAGGGUGCGCCGAAUACUGAGGGACUAGAGUGUGGGAGAGGAAAGUGGUAUUCCUGGUGUAGCGGUGAAAUGCGUAGAUAUCAGGAGGAACACCGGUGGUGUAGACGGCUUUCUGGACCAUAACUGACGCUGAGACACGAAAGCGUGGGUAGCAAACAGGAUUAGAUACCCUGGUAGUCCACGCCCUAAACGAUGCAUAUUUGGUGUGGGUCAUUCAGUUGAUCCGUGCCGGAGCUAACGCGUUAAAUAUGCCGCCUGGGGAGUACAGUCGCAAGGCUGAA